rnacentral:rRNA from 1 species
GGAAACUGUGGCUAAUACCGCAUAAUGUCUACGGACCAAAGUGGGGGACCUUCGGGGCUCACACCUAAGGAUGAGCCCAAGCGGGAUUAGCUAGUUGGUGGGGUAAAGGCUCACCAAGGCGACGAUCCCUAGCUGUUCUGAGAGGAUGAUCAGCCACACUGGGACUGAGACACGGCCCAGACUCCUACGGGAGGCAGCAGUGGGGAAUAUUGCACAAUGGGGGAAACCCUGAUGCAGCCAUGCCGCGUGUGUGAAGAAGGCCUUCGGGUUGUAAAGCACUUUCAGCGACGAGGAAGGGUGUUGUGUUAAUAGCGCAGCACAUUGACGUUAGUCGCAGAAGAAGCACCGGCUAACUCCGUGCC